GAUCAUGGCUCAGGAUGAACGCUGGCGGCGUGCUUAACACAUGCAAGUCGAACGAAGCACUUUAUUUGAUUUCCUUCGGGACUGAUUAUUUUGUUGACUGAGUGGCGGACGGGUGAGUAACGCGUGGGUAACCUGCCUUGUACAGGGGGAUAACAGUUGGAAACGGCUGCUAAUACCGCAUAAGCGCACGGCACUCGCAUGAUGCAGUGUAGAAAACUCCGGUGGUAUAAGAGUCGGACCCGG
rnacentral:rRNA from 1 species